UACGGAGGUGCGAGCGUUGUCCGGAAUCACUGGCGUAAAGGCGCGUAGGCGGCCUGGCAAGUCGGUGGUGAAAGCCCGUGGCUCAACUGCGGUCGGCCACCGAUACUGCGAUGGCUCGAGUUUGGUAGAGGCAGAUGGAAUUCCGGGUGUAGCGGUGGAAUGCGUAGAGAUCCGGAAGAACACCGGUGGCGAAGGCGGUCUGCUGGCCAAGACUGACGCUGAGGAGCGAAAGCGUGGGAGCAAACAGG
rnacentral:rRNA from 1 species